rnacentral:rRNA from 1 species
UACGUAGGGGGCAAGCGUUGUCCGGAUUUAUUGGGCGUAAAGAGCGUGUAGGCGGCCAUUCAGGUCAGCUGUGAAAACUCGAGGCUCAACCUCGAGACGUCGGUUGAAACCGUUUGGCUAGAGUCCGGAAGAGGAGAGUGGAAUUCCCGGUGUAGCAGUGAAAUGCGCAGAUAUCGGGAAGAACACCCGUGGCGAAGGCGGCUCUCUGGGACGGUACUGACGCUGAGACGCGAAAGCGUGGGGAGCGAACAGG